rnacentral:rRNA from 1 species
AUUGAACGCUGGCGGCAGGCCUAACACAUGCAAGUCGAACGGUAGCACAGAGGAGCUUGCUCCUUGGGUGACGAGUGGCGGACGGGUGAGUAAUGUCUGGGAAACUGCCCGAUGGAGGGGGAUAACUACUGGAAACGGUAGCUAAUACCGCAUAACGUCUUCGGACCAAAGUGGGGGACCUUCGGGCCUCACACCAUCGGAUGUGCCCAGGUGGGAUAAGCUAGUAGGUGGGGUAAUGGCUCACCUAGGCGACGAUCCCUAGCUGGUCUGAGAGGAUGACCAGCCACACUGGAACUGAGACACGGUCCAGACUCCUACGGGAGGCAGCAGUGGGGAAUAUUGCACAAUGGGCGCAAGCCUGAUGCAGCCAUGCCGCGUGUAUGAAGAAGGCCUUCGGGUUGUAAAGUACUUUCAGCGGGGAGGAAGGCGUUAAGGUUAAUAACCUUGGCGAUUGACGUUACCCGCAGAAGAAGCACCGGCUAACUCCGUGCCAGCCGCCGCAGUAA